rnacentral:rRNA from 1 species
UAAGCACCGGCUAACUCCGUGCCAGCAGCCGCGGUAAUACGGAGGGUGCAAGCGUUAUUNGGAAUCACUGGGCGUAAAGGACGCGUAGGCGGGAAGCCAAGUCUGAUGUGAAAUCCUAUGGCUUAACCAUAGAACUGCAUUGGAAACUGGUUACCUAGAGUAUGGGAGGGGGAGAUGGAAUUAGUGGUGUAGGGGUAAAAUCCGUAGAUAUCACUAGGAAUACCGAAAGCGAAGGCGAUCUCCUGGAACAAUACUGACGCUAAGGCGUGAAAGCGUGGGGAGCAAACGGGAUUAGAUACCCCGGUAGUCCACGCCCUAAACGAUGAACACUAGUCGUCGGAAUGCUAGUCAUUUCGGUGAUGCACUUAACAGAUUAAGUGUUCCGCCUGGGGAGUACGGUCGCAAGAUUAAAACUCAAAGGAAUAGACGGGGACCCGCACAAGUGGUGGAGCAUGUGGUUUAAUUCGAAAAUACGCGAAGAACCUUACCUAGCCUUGACAUUGAUUGAACACUUUAGAGAUAGAGUGGUGCCCUUCGGGGAACAUGAAAACAGGUGCUGCACGGCUGUCGCCAGCUCGUGUCGUGAGAUGUUGGGUUAAGUCCCGCAACGAGCGCAACCCUCGUCUUUAGUUGCCAGCAGGUUAAGCUGGGCACUCUAAAGAGACUGCCUUCGCAAGGAGGAGGAAGGUGAGGACGACGUCAAGUCAUCAUGGCCCUUAUGGCUAGGGCUACACACGUGCUACAAUGGGGCGUACAGAGAGUUGCGAUACCGCGAGGUGGAGCCAAUCUCAUAAAGCGUCUCUCAGUUCGGAUUGAAGUCUGCAACUCGACUUCAUGAAGCUGGAAUCACUAGUAAUCGUAGAUCAGCAAUGCUACGGUGAAUACGUUCCCGGGUCUUGCACACACCGCCCGUC